rnacentral:rRNA from 1 species
UACGUAGGUGACAAGCGUUGUCCGGAUUUACUGGGCGUAAAGAGCGCGCAGGCGGUCGUUCAAGUCGAGUGUGAAAGCCCCCGGCUCAACUGGGGAGGGUCAUUUGAUACUGAUCGACUCGAAGGCAGGAGAGGGUAGUGGAAUUCCCGGUGUAGUGGUGAAAUGCGUAGAUAUCGGGAGGAACACCAGUGGCGAAGGCGACUACCUGGCCUGUUCUUGACGCUGAGGCGCGAAAGCUAGGGGAGCAAACGGG